AUACGUAGGGGGCGAGCGUUGUCCGGAAUGACUGGGCGUAAAGGGCGCGUAGGCGGCUCUGUAAGUCCGGAGUGAAAGUCCAGCUUUUAAGGUUGGAAUUGCUUUGGAAACUGUGGGGCUUGAGUGCGGAAGAGGUAAGUGGAAUUCCCAGUGUAGCGGUGAAAUGCGUAGAGAUUGGGAGGAACACCAGUGGCGAAGGCGACUUACUGGGCCGUAACUGACGCUGAUGCGCGAAAGCGUGGGGAGC
rnacentral:rRNA from 1 species